GUGCCCGUAGCUCAAUUGGAUAGAGCGUCUGCCUCCGGAGCAGAAGGUUACAGGUUCAAGCCCUGCCGGGCAUACCA
rnacentral:tRNA from 1 species